CCACUCCCAGAAAACGAAGGCAUGUACUGUCCCGAGCAAGGUAACGAAACCAAACAGUCGACAUGCUACGUCGGUGGUGUUUGUCCUAAAGACUGUCCGGUGUUCCGGUGGGGGUCAAACUGUGAGCAGUCAUGCGUGAACUGUGACCCCGACUGCGACAAGUUUCUGGGCACGUGCACCAAGUGUCAGAGUGGCUUUAAAUACCCGGGGGCGGGCUGUAGUCAACCAUGUGAGGCUAUGGAGUUCGGCCCGAACUGUAUCGGCAAGUGUAUGGAGAAGUGUGGGGCGGACUGUAUAGAGAGGAGUCACGGGGAGUGUGCU